UACGAAGGGGGCUAGCGUUGCUCGGAAUCACUGGGCGUAAAGGGUGCGUAGGCGGGUUCUUAAGUCAGAGGUGAAAUCCUGGAGCUCAACUCCAGAACUGCCUUUGAUACUGAGAGUCUUGAGUACGGGAGAGGUGAGUGGAACUGCGAGUGUAGAGGUGAAAUUCGUAGAUAUUCGCAAGAACACCAGUGGCGAAGGCGGAUCUCUGGGCCUGUUCUGACGCUGAGGCGCGAAAGCUAGGGGAGCGAACAGG
rnacentral:rRNA from 1 species